GGCCUAACACAUGCAAGUCGAACGGUAACAGGAAGAAGCUUGCUUCUUUGCUGACGAGUGGCGGACGGGUGAGUAAUGUCUGGGAAACUGCCUGAUGGAGGGGGAUAACUACUGGAAACGGUAGCUAAUACCGCAUAACGUCGCAAGACCAAAGAGGGGGACCUUCGGGCCUCUUGCCAUCGGAUGUGCCCAGAUGGGAUUAGCUAGUAGGUGGGGUAACGGCUCACCUAGGCGACGAUCCCUAGCUGGUCUGAGAGGAUGACCAGCCACACUGGAACUGAGACACGGUCCAGACUCCUACGGGAGGCAGCAGUGGGGAAUAUUGCACAAUGGGCGCAAGCCUGAUGCAGCCAUGCCGCGUGUAUGAAGAAGGCCUUCGGGUUGUAAAGUACUUUCAGCGGGGAGGAAGGGAGUAAAGUUAAUACCUUUGCUCAUUGACGUUACCCGCAGAAGAAGCACCGGCUAACUCCGUGCCAGCAGCCGCGGUAAUACGGAGGGUGCAAGCGUUAAUCGGAAUUACUGGGCGUAAAGCGCACGCAGGCGGUUUGUUAAGUCAGAUGUGAAAUCCCCGGGCUCAACCUGGGAACUGCAUCUGAUACUGGCAAGCUUGAGUCUCGUAGAGGGGGGUAGAAUUCCAGGUGUAGCGGUGAAAUGCGUAGAAAUCUGGAGGAAUACCGGUGGCGAAGGCGGCCCCCUGGACGAAGACUGACGCUCAGGUGCGAAAGCGUGGGGAGCAAACAGG
rnacentral:rRNA from 1 species